rnacentral:sRNA from 1 species
ACAUCGGAAGGAGGUGGUCCCAGACAUGAAGUUCACCAGGACUCGUGAGGUGGCUGUCCGCUAGUCGCCACCAGCACCGACCAGCCCUGCUGGUCGGGGACCAGCGCGCAAGGUCGCGCUGGCAGCUGUCGGACGAACCGGUUGUCAGUACUCGCCGGCCCCGCACCGGACGCGGUGGGCGCCCAGCGAAUACCAGGCAGUCACCGGAGCCCGUGGGCGCCGCGAUCUCGUCCUUCGCGGCAGGUGGGUCACCCCACCAGCCCACGGGCUCUUCCAU